rnacentral:rRNA from 1 species
AUUGAACGCUGGCGGCAGGCCUAACACAUGCAAGUCGAACGAGUGGCGGACGGGUGAGUAAUGUCUGGGAAACUGCCUGAUGGAGGGGGAUAACUACUGGAAACGGUAGCUACUACCGCAUAACAUAAGAUGUGCCCAGAUGGGAUUAGCUAGUUGGUGGGGUAACGGCUCACAAAGGCGACGAUCCCUCGCUGGUCUGAUAGGAGGACCAGUCAAACUGGAACUGAGACACGUGCCAGCCUCCAACGUGAGGGAUCAGUGGGGAAUUUUGCACAAUUGGCGCAAGCCUGAUGCAGCCAUGCCGCGUGUAUGAAGAAGGCCUUCGGGUUGUAAAGUACUUUCAGCGGGGAGGCGUUACCCGCAGAAGAAGCACCGGCUAACUCCGUGCCAGCAGCCGCGGUAAUAC